rnacentral:rRNA from 1 species
ACGAACGCUGGCGGCGUGCUUAACACAUGCAAGUCGAACGAAGAGCGAUGGAAGCUUGCUUCUAUCAAUCUUAGUGGCGAACGGGUGAGUAACGCGUAAUCAACCUGCCCUUCAGAGGGGGACAACAGUUGGAAACGACUGCUAAUACCGCAUACGAUCUAAUCUCGGCAUCGAGGAUAGAUGAAAGGUGGCCUCUACAUGUAAGCUAUCACCGAAGGAGGGGAUUGCGUCUGAUUAGCUAGUUGGAGGGGUAACGGCCCACCAAGGCGAUGAUCAGUAGCCGGUCUGAGAGGAUGAACGGCCACAUUGGGACUGAGACACGGCCCAGACUCCUACGGGAGGCAGCAGUGGGGAAUCUUCCGCAAUGGACGAAAGUCUGACGGAGCAACGCCGCGUGAGUGAUGACGGCCUUCGGGUUGUAAAGCUCUGUUAAUCGGGACGAAAGGCCUUCUUGCGAAUAGUGAGAAGGAUUGACGGUACCGGAAUAGAAAGCCACGGCUAACUACGUG